CCCCGGUGGGGCCCGGGAGGUGAAAACACGACCUGUGGCGCAAGAAAAAAAACAUACGAUCACCAACGAAUCUGGUGCAAACCGAUGAGAAGUGCUCUCGGGGGGAGCGAAACCACUCACCUGGGUGGUCAAGACGGCGACGCGUCGUGUGUCGGCUCUGUCGUCACGUGGACGACGACAAACAUUUGACAUGAUCUCCAAACGGAUGAAUGAACGUAAACAUCCGGGACGGACAUCGGCCAUGACGCCACGGUGAGGAGGGGAUGGUGGCGGCAGUACGGGCCACUUUCCGAAGACAAUGCUGCAACCGAACCCACAGUCUGAGUGCUGGCUCCCAGACUUGCAGCAGUAACGCCUCCCAAACAGCGUCGCAAACCCCGCCGAGCACUGCGGGACCCUGAUUGGGAACAGAUUUCCCAAAUUCCGAUAGCAUGCCACCUGCCCAGGAUGAUGGAUAGUCCUCCUGUAUCCCAUCAAUCCUCACCUGCUGCCUGGGAGGUGACACCUGGGCCAGAUUUAUCAUCAUAUACGACAUCGAGCUGAGCAGCCAA